GACGAACGCUGGCGGCGUGCCUAAUACAUGCAAGUAGAACGCACAGUUUAUACCGUAGCUUGCUACACCAUAAACUGUGAGUUGCGAACGGGUGAGUAACGCGUAGGUAACCUGCCUGGUAGCGGGGGAUAACUAUUGGAAACGAUAGCUAAUACCGCAUAAUAUUGAUUAUUGCAUGAUAAUUGAUUGAAAGAUGCUAUUGCAUCACUACCAGAUGGACCUGCGUUGUAUUAGCUAGUAGGUGAGGUAACGGCUCACCUAGGCGACGAUACAUAGCCGACCUGAGAGGGUGAUCGGCCACACUGGGACUGAGACACGGCCCAGACUCCUACGGGAGGCAGCAGUAGGGAAUCUUCGGCAAUGGACGAAAGUCUGACCAAGCAACGCCGCGUGAGUGAAGAAGGUUUUCGGAUCGUAAAGCUCUGUUGUAAGAGAAGAACGGGUGUGAGAGUGGAAAGUUCACACUGUGACGGUAUCUUACCAGAAAGGGACGGCUAACUACGUG
rnacentral:rRNA from 1 species